GUUCUCUUGGGCAGCACAUGUACCAAAAUUGGAACGAUACAGAGAUUAGCAUGGCCUCUGGGCAAGGAUGACAUGAAAAUUCGUGAAGCGUUCCAUAGUUUU
ensembl:snRNA U6 U6 spliceosomal RNA